UGGCGUUGUCAUACUAGCAUUAAUGCAUUGGAUCCCAUCAAAACUCCGAAGUUAAACGUGCUUGGGUAAGAGUAGUAUUAUGAUGGGUGAUCUCCUGAGAAGUCCUUGUGUUGCUCCCC
rnacentral:rRNA from 1 species